rnacentral:lncRNA from 1 species
UAGGCAACACUGCUUCUCUUUUGGCUCACUGCAUGGGAUGGUGGAAGGGAGGCUGGAGGAGUGGAAAAAAAGGAGGCCUCAUCUGCCAAGGAAAGGAAAAGAUGAAGUCUCUGUUUUUCCUGUUUCUUGCCAUCUCUUCUGUAGUCAGCACAAAUUUGAAGUUGGUGUCAAAAAGAAAUUCGGGUAAGUGGCUGAAGAUUCUUUCUUAAUGUUUGGUCUGGCUGGUGUAGUUGUCUUACCAUUUUGAGGGAUGUGCUUCUGGUUACUCAAUCUGUUCCCUUUGGAAUGUCUCAUUAAUCACUGAGAUCACUUACAUUUUAGAAAGUCUGCCAAGAGGCCAAAAGAUAAAGUUUCAUGUAGCUCAUUGAGGGCUUAGGAAG